ensembl:lncRNA
GGGUUCCUACCUUCUGGUUCUCCACACCUGCUGGUAAUCACACACUUCUCUGGAAGUGUCUGAGCGUCAGUCUUUACUAGUUAUUUGAUUUGUAGCAGCUAAUGUAACCCAGCUCCUUGUCUUGCUGAUCCGCAUAAGAAUGGAUUUGAGAAAUUGGAUCUCUCGACACGGAAUCCUGUUUCCUCGGGGGAGUAAGUGAUCCACAAAAUCCCAGCGCAUCGAGAGAUAAACAGACAGAGAGGAAAAAAGGAAACCAAGAGUGUGGUGCAGGGGGAAAGGAAGGAGUGUGACAUAGGAGUGCAUUUAAGCUCCAGUGCCUCCCAUCCUGUGCGUGUGACCGUGGUGGAUCUGAAAACCUCAGCUUCGCCCCACAGCAACAGAAAGGAGAGGAAUGUUCUUGGGGAGACUAAAUUUAGACUCAAUGUCCUGUACCAUCAAUCCCGAUUAAGCUAACUGCGGAACUGCACUCGUUGUGGGAAGAAUAUGGCUCAGUGUUGAAUCCAGGUUACAUAAGUGUUUGGACCUCCAUGGCUUGGAAAUGAAGGAACUUUAUGUUUCUGAGAGCACUGUGUUAUGGCUUUCUACUCAACUAUGCACUCCUUCAUCAGUAUUUGUGUGCCAUGUCUAAAUAAGUUCAGUUAAAUAAAAAAAAAAAAGAUUACACUUUACAACAUGGUCUACAAUUAAAGGUGUAAUUCCCCUGUAACUAAAUAUAAUUUCACUGUAUUUUAUUUGAAAUCACAAUGUAAUUAUAUUUGCCUACAAAGGUUAUUACACUUGAACAAGGGGGCAACAAGUCAGAUUUUAACAAAUAAAU